rfam:Glossina brevipalpis unplaced genomic scaffold Scaffold33, whole genome shotgun sequence.
GCCCUUUUAGCUCAGUGGUAGAGCACUGGUCUCGUAAACCAGAGGUCGUGAGUUCGAAUCUCACAGAGGACA